rnacentral:lncRNA from 1 species
CCCCCUACGGCCACGCCCCCCCUUACCCGGAAGCGGGUGUCGGGAGCACAGGGCCUCUGGGUGAGUGCAGUCCUGGGCACUUCUCGCGCUCCUCGGCCCCGCCCCACCCCUUCCUUCACACCGGGGCCCGAGUCCCUGCCGACGUCACAGACCCGCUCUCGCGCCGCUGGCCCGGGGCUCCCUGACACUCGCGAAGCCGGGAGCUCCGCUGCCGGGGUCGAGUCGCAUCCGUUUCCGGAUCCGAGGCCAUCCUGGUCCGACCUUCCGGCCUAUGGUCUCUUCACGGGGUCCCGCCCCCUGUCAGGUCCCCACUCGCAACGUGCGCUCUCGCCCUCUGUGCCUCUCGGGGCCGCACGGGACUCCGCGCCCUCCGGCGGCUCCAGGAAUCCGCAGACCCCCGUCUUCUCCAGAAGCGGCCCGGCCCCGCCGCUCGCUCCCCUCGGCGGUCACCGCCUCACACACCUGUCCCAGGGAGAUGUUGGUGUUCAUGGAUUUGUAAAGAAUUGACUUGUCUGCAGAUACUGAGUGUUCCUCCUCUUUGGGUAAGUUGUGGUUUUGUUGCUGAGCCAAUAGAUGGCACAUUUCAUUUUGUAACAGGUUUUGGCACCGUUCUCUACACGAAGUACACAGUUGCCAAGAAAUCCUCGUCUGUCUGUCCCCUCGUGCCUUAACCAGGAUUCUUUUAAAUAUGUGUGUAUAAUUGUAGAUUUGGAUAAAAUGACAACUCUUUGUUCCUAAUUUCCAUUUUACUAAUGAUUUAAGAGACUGAGUAAAGGUUAUUCUUUAUAGACAUGUAUAUAUAGAAUGAAUUUUCCUACUUAUUUUUCUAAUUUAUGGUUUAGUUACAUACACACAGACACUUUGAUAAUGUUGAUGCAAUGAAACCAAAUCAUGGCCUUUGCUUUUUUUCCCUUCGUAAGGUGUCACCUGUUUCAUAGUAUAAAAUAUUACGUUCAUUUAGUCCCAAUAUAUUGUUUAAUAUUGUUUAUUUCAACUAUUUAAUUUGAGCUAUUUUAAAGUUUCAAAUAAUAUAGGUUCAAAUGUAACUUGACUGAUCUCCAG